GGUGGCUUGAGGAGAAGUAGGGGCUGAGGAGGUGAAGGAGGUGCGCAUAGGGAGUGGGGGCCCAGCUGAGGAAAGGUGCUAGGCUGAGGAAGGCAGGGCAGCUGAAGAGGGACCAGACAGUUGGGAAGGGUGGAGCCUGAGCGAGCAGAGCACUGAGAAAGCCUGCAUCAGACUGACUUUGCUGGGGUAGGAAUUCGGAGUUCCCCGGAGUGCAGUGGGCCCAAAGAAACAAAUAGAGCUUGUGCCCUGGGCUCUCAGCUCUCGAUACCUAAAGGGACGUGCUUUUCCGAAGCUUGAUAGAUUUAUUUUAGGAGCCCUUCCUCUUUUGUCUCUUUCUAAUUUGGUCUAAUCAACCUAACACCCUACCAAAGAACUUUACUGUCCUCUCACCUCAGUACAAACAUCACUAAGGACUGCUUAACCCAGCCCAAGCUUCUGUGCACUUAGUUCAUCCCAGAAGAUUUGUCUACCACUGUAGCCUGCUGUGACGUAACACUAUUGGGGGGGGUGUAAACAAAUAUCUACUCACCCCCAGAGGCCAAAGUAAGGCUACCCCCAAAAUCCAACUUGGUGAACCAAUGGAUUUUAUUGGAAUUAUAUUUACAGAAAUUUGGGUGAGGGUUAUUUACAGGAGCAGAAAUGACUGAAAAAUAGCUACAUCGCGAAAAGCCCACCCCAGUGGUGUUGACAGCUCGUAGAAGAAAACCUGGACAACACUGCACAACAUGCAGAAAGCUCAACAGCGAAGUAAAUAACUGCUCCCUACAUAGGGGUGGCAGCAGCCCUGAAUGGUCCGGUGGAAACAAAGAAUAAAUGGGAAGACUUCCGUCCUGAGUCCCCGAGUCAACUAUCAUCAUCCUCUUGGGGAUCUUCUUUAGACUCAGGUGAACUCCGUGGCAGGGGUAAUUUACCCUUACCUCCCUAUUCCUGAAGGCAGUACUUGACAAUUUCUAAAGUUUCCAGGAAGAAGAUGGAGCCCCACAACAACAACUCCACCUGGUUGAUAUGGCAUGGUUAUGAUGCUGAUUGCACUACUAUACGACCUGUUUUGGGUACCAGAUGUUCAAGAUGGUUCCAACUUGGUUAGCUGAAAUGGUGCACCUUUUUACAGCG